rnacentral:rRNA from 1 species
GAUGAACGCUGGCGGCGUGCUUAACACAUGCAAGUCGAACGGAAAGGCCCUGCGUUUGUGGGGUGCUCGAGUGGCGAACGGGGGUGUAACACGUGAGUAACCUGCCCUUGACUGUGGGAUAACUUCAGGAAAAUGGGGCUAAUACCGGAGAGGAGAUCCUGCUGCAUGGUGGGGGAUGGAAAGUUUCGGCGGUGGUGGAUGGAAUAGAUGCUUACCAGCUGGUUGGUGGAGUAGUGACUUACCAAGGCUUUGACGGGUAGCCUGCCUGGGAGGUGGAACGGGCACAUGGGUACUGAGAGACGGCCCAGACGCGUACGUGAGGCAGAAGUGGGGAACAUUGCGCAAUGGGGCGAAGCGAGAUGCAGCAACGCCGGGAGCGGGAUGCCGGCCUUCUGGUGGUAAACAGAUUUCGCCUGUGAUGAAGCGUGAGUGACGGUAACGGGUAAGGAAGCACCGGCUAACUACGUG